ensembl:lncRNA
GUCAAAGCCUGCUGUGCGCAUGCUGCCGCACUGGGGCGGCUGUGACACACUAAAUGGAACGGGUCCUCACAUAAUUAAUCCCGCCUGUGUUUGCCUCGCUAUGACGCGUCAAAACGUUAUUAACUAUAAAACAAUAGCUUCGUUUCCUUGCUGGUGCUUCCGCAAUGAAACCACGGUGGUCUUUGUGCGUGCGGUUAUGCGUUAUUCUAUGCGUUGUACCGGCACGCCAACUAGACAGCGUUAGCUACGGUGAGCUAAUGCUAAAUGCAGUUAGCUAGCGUUUAUAACAUUAUGGCUAACGUAACGGUAGCUGCUGGUGAUUCACACGUACAGCAGACGCGAGGCAGCAUUGACGUUGGCUUUACUUGGAGUCCCGCUUCUGCUCACCUGAAAUAAUGUAAGUCCAAUAUAAGUUUUUAUUUAUUCAUUUAUUUUCCUUUGCUCGUAGCGUGCUAAUAAAUCUCCGCUUUGUUUUCCCGCUAUCUUAGCUUAGCUUAGGCAGGCUAGUCGCUUUCUGUGUCUGUUUGGUGGCAACAUGUUUGGAAAUAUCUGGACAGUUAAAUGUACUUUUGUGACCAUUACACUGUGAAAUUACAGCCAACAACAAUGAGAUUAAUUUAAACAAAUAUAUCAAAGGGAAGUGCCAAACUAACGUACCCAAAAAAUGGUGGUAAAAUGUCCUAUGGACUUACAUGUUCUAAUAGACUUUAUUAACAUGCAUCAUACCAGAGUGGAGGAAACCUUAAACAAAAGAAACAGUAAAAUGAGCAUACUUGAACCACUUUCAUACUAAUUUAAUUGAUCUGUAACACCAAAUUAAAGUUAAUAAGCAACAUGCAUAUAGUAAGAACUCUUUCAUGUUUCAGCAAGAAAGCGCGUUGCCAACUAGUAACGUUAGGAAACUUACGUUGUAUUUUGGGUUUCUUGAAGAAAUGAUACUUGACUUUUGUUGUUCCGUGUCUGUACCCUGUAGGGUUAAAUGCACUUAUUGUAAGUUGCUUUCGAUAAAAGUGAGUCAAAUGCAAAUCACAUAAGCGUGGUAUGUUUUCCAAACCAAAUAUUUUACGUUCAUGCAAUUUCAUGAGUGCUGCAGGACACUGGAUGAGCAGCGUCGUCAUCUUGCCAAGGUCGCGCUGAUGCCACAUAGAGCAGGCGCCAUAUUUGAGUUUGAUGACCGUGGCAUUGGGGCUCACUGUGGGGUCGAGAAGGCUACGUCCCCCGCCGUUUUCGAAUCCAAAACGAUGGAGUGAAGCAAGAUAGCGACAGAUAGACGGAUGUGGCCUGUGAAAGGGAAGUUUGGUGUCUCCUGCUGGUUGCCCGCGCGACCGGCUCCGGAUGAGCGGAUGACUGAAUAAAUCAGCGGAUCCUCACUGACCGUGGAAAAUAAUUUGUAAACUGAGAGCUUUGACCUCUGAGGCUAGUAAUAUUUCUGUAGUCAUGGUAACAUCAAUGGAAAAAUCUUCAUGCGUAUUCAAAUGUAUCCUCUUGUGCAUUUUCUAGAUGAAUAUGGAGUUGUGCAAAAACAUCCAUCGACAGAAGCCUCUGUGCUCUUUGCACCCUCAAACAAAUGAUUUGGUGGAAAAGCUCAAUGGUACAAUUCAAUGGUAAAAAUUAUGGGUGUAACGCUUCAUUUUAACGAUUCGAAUCGCGAUUCAUGGUUUUCGAUUCAUGGACGAUCUGGGUUAAUUUAGAACGAUUCGAUUGAGUGACUUGAAAUCGAUUCAGUAACUUUACUGGACAGUGCAGGCAAAGUUUCUGAGAUCCCUGUUGUUUCUUGUAAGGAAAUCAGGUUUAAAUUAAUUAUGGAUAUUAUAAACAAGCAAACAACAAUUAAUGGCAAAUGUAUUAACCUUUUAUUUGAAUCAAGUGCCAUUUUUAAUGUAAACAUUACACAUUGUUUGCAUCAAUUCACAGAACCCCGGAUUUUCAACCACAUUGUCGGGUCGCAUGUCUUUACAGAUAAACUUUGCAAUUGUUACUGUGAUGUUGAGUUUGGUGCUGGCGAGGCCUGAGGCGUCUGCAGAGCUGGAGUUACCUUCUGCUGCUGCAGCGGUGACGCUGCUAGAGGUCCUGACUGUCGGCGUUGUUUAAUCCCACGGCGCCUUAGUAGAUGGCCGGAAAGAUUCGUCGUGUUUCCGUAGUUUUUUAAUUUGUCUUCUACAUAUUCUACAAACAGCGACCGACUUA